rnacentral:rRNA from 1 species
UACGUAGGGUGCAAGCGUUGUCCGGAAUUAUUGGGCGUAAGGAGCUCGUAGGCGGUCUGUUGCGUCCGCUGUGAAAACUCGGGGCUUAACCCCGAGCCUGCAGUGGAUACGGGCAGACUAGAGGUAGGUAGGGGAGAAUGGAAUUCCCGGUGUAGCGGUGAAAUGCGCAGAUAUCGGGAGGAACACCGGUGGCGAAGGCGGUUCUCUGGGCCUUACCUGACGCUGAGGAGCGAAAGCGUGGGGAGCGAACAGG